AAAAUAUAAUGUGGAAUUAAUUCUGAAACAAUUUUACUAUGAUAUUAAAAAGUUAGCCGAGUAAAUGUAUACUGACUUGUGAUGUAACUGUAGCGUUGGGUCAUAAAAUCAAAAACGGCGGGGUAACGUUUACUAUAUUAGGCUGAAAGAUGAAGAAAACUACCAAAGAUAAUCAGCAGCAAUGAAAGAGGAGUGUGAGGACGGUACUAUAGUGCAGUGUGUGGUUAAAAAGGAGGAAUAUGAAACCAGCAUCGAUAACACAAACAAGGCGCAUCUAAUUACCCCAAUUGCAUUAUGCUUCCUCUCUACUGAUGCCGAUCCCCGCCCUGAUUGAGGAGAGCAAGACUGACACGUGUGCAGUAGCUGACUGCAUCUUUUUACCUGCACGAGGCGAGUACAUAUGCGGAUCAGCUUCGUGUACGGAGAGCCACACCAUGAUGAACGCAUUAUUCCUCAACUCUGUGCAGGCGCCAUCAAUCAGCCAGCAGAGGUCGUAUUUGCAUCAGUUAUGAGGCAUUACCUGUCCAGCUCCCACCCUGUAUGAACAACAGGCCAAUUGUUGCUCAUGUAGGCACCCAGCUGGAAGGCAGACAAGUUCGAAAUGUCAGCUCUGGUGUGCUAGCGUGUUUUACCGCUGUGCCACCUGAGCGCCCUUGUAUCAUUGAUUUAAUACACCUUUUAGAAAUGGGUGUGGCCUUCUAGUGCACAAUAGUGCCUGAUCUCACAAAUGCAAUUUUGACUAAAUGGGCACAUAUUUUUACAGGCACACUCCAAAUUUUGGAGGUCAAAGAGUGGAAGUCAUUAUAGCUUCAAAGUGGCUGGCCAGCUCCAUGUUCAUGCCCAUGGUUUUGGAAUCGGAUGUCCAACAAGCUUAUGGUCAGAGCGCUGCUUUGUCCUGACCAUAUAAUUAUAAAUAACUAAGAUUAAUAAAUAAAUAAAAAUCA